GGCGCUAUAGUGUAGUGGUUAUCACUUGGGAUUCUGAUGCAACAGUGUUCCCAAAACCCAGGUUCGAGCCCUGGUAGCGCCU